rnacentral:lncRNA from 1 species
GAGAGUAGGGAGUACAAGGGCCACGGCCUUUGCCGCACCAGUUGAAGUCGGGACGAUGUUGAGAGCUGCGGCUCUAGCACGCCUGAGGUCUCGGUGGCUAGCAUCAAGUAGCCUCUGGUCACCGGUGUACGAGUGAGUGGUAGUCAUGGUGCCCUUGAUGAUACCUAUCAUAUAUAUUACAUUAGCAUUAGUCAGAAACUCGUAAUGGGGCAUAUCUUCUUUAUUAAUAUAGUGUUAAAAGGAAUUACCAAACUUCUGGUCCAGAACCUUGACGAAAGGAGCAAGGCAAUUGGUGGUGCAAGAAGCAUUGCUGAUGAUAGGCUCAUCUGGGUUGUAGGUGUCAGCAUUCACUCCAACAACAUAGGUGGGGAUGUCACCCUUACCUGGGGCAGUAAUCAGCACUUUCUUGGCUCCUGCUUGAAUGUGCUUACCUGCACCUUCUCUAUCGACAAACACACCGGUUCCUUCGAUGACUAGAUCUAUUCCUAGGUCCCUAUAAUAUCAUCUUUAUCAGUUUGAUUGAAGCCAAACAAAUGUUGUGUAUAUGAAAAUGUGAUGCAUUUAAAAUUUCAACUCUUACCCCCAUGGGAGGUUGGAAGGGUUGCGGUCAGAAACAACCUUGAUAACCUUGCCAUCAACAGAGAUGCCAUCAGUGCCAACAGGCUUGACAUCGGCAGCGAAGAUGCCAAGGGUGGAAUCAUAUUUGAGAAGGUGAGAAGCCUGCUUAACACCACCAGUGUCAUUGAUGGCAAUGACAUCAAGUGGGGAGUCCUUACGGCCAUGCCAGCAUCUUAAGAAAUUCCUGCCAAUCCUACCAAACCCAUUUAUAGCCACCUUUAGCUUUGCCUCUGCCAUCCCUU